UACAGAGGGGGCAAGCGUUGUUCGGAAUUACUGGGCGUAAAGCGUGCGCAGGCGGUUUUGUAAGCCAGAUGUGAAAUCCCCGGGCUCAACCUGGGAAUGGCAUUUGGGACUGCAAGGCUGGAGUUUGGCAGAGGAGACUGGAAUUCCUGGUGUAGCGGUGAAAUGCGCAGAUAUCGGGAGGAACACCGGUGGCGAAGGCGGCCCCCUGGUUGGAUACUGACGCUGAGACGCGAAAGCGUGGGGAGCAAACAGG
rnacentral:rRNA from 1 species